rnacentral:lncRNA from 1 species
GUAAAUCACAUGCAGCCAUCUCAAAUUUUCUUGGACAAUGGCGGUGAAAUUUUGUUGGAGUGUUCUCUCUAGCUAUGUUCAAAAUGCCACCUGGAUCUAUUAAGUAUUAAUUGAUUCCAGAGCAGUGCAUCAUCAUUGACUUCUGUAUGCCAAAGUUGUGUAAUGGAUUAAGUUUAAAAAAAAGGUGUGCAGUACGGGUGUCCUCUCUAAAAUUAAGAUGGUAAAGCAUGGCAUAGACCGCAACCAACAAGGUAUUGGAAUUACUUGAUCUAAAUGAUGGGAGAUACUAGACAUUUUGUGCCACUGGAGAUAUUACCUACAGUUUCAUAAUCAAUUUGCUAACAUCUAAGUUUGCAACACUUAACUGAUUAAAGGGUCUAAAAUUAAGAUGGUAAAGCAUGACAUAGACCACAACCAACAAGGUAUUGGAAUUACUUGAUCUAAGUGAUGGGAGAUACUCGACAUUUUGUGCCACUGGAGAUAUUACCUACAGUUUCAUAAUCAAUUUGCUAACAUCUAAGUUUGCAACACUUAACUGAUUAAAGGGCUAGUGUACAUACUAAAGUAUACUGUAUACAGCUAACAUUUGCUGACUUUGGAUUGUCCUUAGGUGUAGACCUUAAGGCCUAGCGCCCUAGCCAUGACUUUUUUUUGGGAUAUCAUUCAAUCUGACAUACUUAUUUGUAUGUGCAGUAUUUUUGAAAGCAACAAAUACACAGCUGAUAUUUACUUUUCAGAAAUGAAGUGUUGCCUAGGCAACCAGUAGGGGAAAAAUCAGGUCUUAAAUGGUAUGAGUUUGCCCUGUGUGCUCAUUUAAGAGUACUCAUUCCAGGGCCUGAAUAUCCUUCUAGGAUCUUGUGUUUUGCAGUUACAUUUGUAUUAAGGUGCAUGUAUCUAACAAUCUAUUUGAAUAAUUAUU